GGACUUAAAAUCCGUCGACUUUAAAAAUCGUGAGGG
rnacentral:tRNA from 1 species